rnacentral:tRNA from 1 species
GGUCCUGUGGUCUAGUGGUAUGAUUCUCGCUUAGGGAAGCUUGUUCUCAAGCAUCCAGCACUAAGCACUCUUGCGAGAGGCCCCGCGUUCGAGUCGCGGCAGGACCC